AAAGAUUUUAAUUUUUUUUAAUUAUCCUUAUCCCCCAACUUAAUUUUUAUUAUCCUCAGUGGAGUAAGAAAAAAUAAAAUAAAGAUAGAUAAAUAAAAUAAUGAGAGAUACCACCUGGACUAAGUAUACUUGUUCAUUGACAGGUGCUUCCAUACAGAGUGGUCCACUAUUUUUAAAAAAAUAAAAAUCACUAAAGCAAAGGUUAGAGAAAAUAAAAAGUUUUUGUUGCCAUCCAAAAAGUGCUAAGUUUGAUGUCUUCAGUCAGACUUUUAUUAAGACUAAUUCUAAGAAAUUAAGUUGUCUUAAGUUCCAACAAGUGCUAAGUUUAACAUCUUUAGCCAGACACUAAUAGAGUGCUCAUCCUAUUCCUAUCCGAAUCUUAAUGUGGGUUUGUAAUUCCCUACGUGAUUUAGGAUCUACCUCAGAAUACUUCCUACAUGGGCCAUUGCAUGACUAAUUCCCUUGACAGCUAACAACCCUUUUCCUAUAAUUAAAUCUAAGUACAACUUAAGUUCUAGUCGAGAGUCUGAGGGACUUAGAUCUAUGUACUCAAUAUGCUGAGGGAGUGUUUCUGGAUCUUCCUUUGUUAGCUCUUCCUUUUUAGGCAAAGGUUCGACCAGUGUUAUGAGGGGUUCAACUAGUAGUUCUGAUCUUGGCUGAGUGCAAUGGUCACUAAGGAUGGAUACCUCAUUAUUAUUUUCAGCUUCGGAUAUCUCCUCUAGUUCCUCAAACCUGGAUGUUCUUAAAUGAUCAAAUUGGUCUUCUUGUUUAGGCUCUGGAUCAUAUUGGGCUCUAGGGUCAAACUCAAGUUGGCUUGGUACUCUACGCUCUUCUUAUUCACUGACUGCUGUAGCUG
rnacentral:lncRNA from 1 species